AAACAACUACGAGUUAUACUUAAAACUUAAAAGACUUGACGGUACUUCACCACACCCUAGAGGAGCCUGUCCAAUAACCGACGACCCACGAUUAACCCAGCCCCCCCUUGCCCACAGUCUAUAUACCGCCGUCGCCAGCCUACCUUGUAAAAGAAAUAAAGUAGGCCAAAUAGCACUCACUAAAACGACAGGUCGAGGUGUAACUCAUGAGGGGGACCAAGAUGGGCUACACUCUCGCCCCGAGAAUACGGAAAACACUCUGAAAUUAGUCUUUAAAGGUGGAUUUAGCAGUAAGAUAGGAAUAAAACACCUAACUGAACAUAACGCAAUGAAGUGCGU
rnacentral:rRNA from 1 species